rnacentral:rRNA from 1 species
GACGAACGCUGGCGGCGUGCUUAAUACAUGCAAGUCGAACGGAAAGGCCCUGCUUUUGUUGGGCUCUCGAGUGGCGAACGGGUGAGUAACACGUGAGUAACCUGCCCUUGACUUUGGGAUAACUUCAGGAAACUGGGGCUAAUACCGGAUAGGAGCUCCUGCUGCAUGGGGGGGGUUGGAAAGUGUCGGCGUUGGUAGAUGGACUCGCAGGUUAUCAGCUUGUUGGGGAGGUAGGGGCUUACGAAGGGUUUGACGGGUAGGCGGCCUGGGAGGGUGGACGGCCACAUUGGGACUGCGAUACGGAGCAGAAUGCUACGGGCGGCAGCGGUGGGGAAUCUGGCGCAAUGGCCCGGAGCCAGUUACAGCAGCGCCGCGUGCGGGAUGACCGCCUUCGAGUUGUAAACAGCUUUCGAAUGUGACGAAGAGUGAGUGACGGUAAUGGGUAAGGAAGCACCGGCUAACUACGUG